AUUGAACGCUGGCGGCAGGCCUAACACAUGCAAGUCGAACGGUAACAGGAAGCAGCUUGCUGCUUUGCUGACGAGUGGCGGACGGGUGAGUAAUGUCUGGGAAACUGCCUGAUGGAGGGGGAUAACUACUGGAAACGGUAGCUAAUACCGCAUAACGUCGCAAGACCAAAGAGGGGGACCUUCGGGCCUCUUGCCAUCGGAUGUGCCCAGAUGGGAUUAGCUAGUAGGUGGGGUAACGGCUCACCUAGGCGACGAUCCCUAGCUGGUCUGAGAGGAUGACCAGCCACACUGGAACUGAGACACGGUCCAGACUCCUACGGGAGGCAGCAGUGGGGAAUAUUGCACAAUGGGCGCAAACCUGAUGCAGCCAUGCCGCGUGUAUGAAGAAGGCCUUCGGGUUGUAAAGUACUUUCAGCGGGGAGGAAGGGAGUAAAGUUAAUACCUUUGCUCAUUGACGUUACCCGCAGAAGAAGCACCGGCUAACUCCGUG
rnacentral:rRNA from 1 species